GAACGCUGGCGGCGUGCUUAACACAUGCAAGUCGAGCGGAAAGGCCCUUCGGGGUACUCGAGCGGCGAACGGGUGAGUAACACGUGAGCAACCUGCCCUAGGCUUUGGGAUAACCCCGGGAAACCGGGGCUAAUACCGAAUAGGACCUCUGGCCGCAUGGCCGGGGGUGGAAAGUUUUUCGGCUUGGGAUGGGCUCGCGGCCUAUCAGCUUGUUGGUGGGGUGAUGGCCUACCAAGGCGACGACGGGUAGCCGGCCUGAGAGGGCGACCGGCCACACUGGGACUGAGACACGGCCCAGACUCCUACGGGAGGCAGCAGUGGGGAAUAUUGCACAAUGGGCGGAAGCCUGAUGCAGCGACGCCGCGUGAGGGAUGACGGCCUUCGGGUUGUAAACCUCUUUCAGCAGGGACGAAGCGUAAGUGACGGUACCUGCAGAAGAAGCGCCGGCCAACUACGUGCCAGCAGCCGCGGUAAGACGUAGGGCGCGAGCGUUGUCCGGAUUUAUUGGGCGUAAAGAGCUCGUAGGCGGC
rnacentral:rRNA from 1 species